GGACGUUCUUUGGUGGCAGCGGGCUCUGUGAUUGGUCAGUGCGGCUGGGAUGACGUCAGUGCGGGAGAGAGUUGUCAGACUGUAGAGGAAGCGCGCAGGCUGGAGGAGAGGCAGAAGCUGGAGCACCGAGGACCGACCUGGACUCAUCACUCCCCGAGAGGGCCCGAUGCAAACCCGAGAAAAGAAGGGGAAACAAACAAACCAAAGAAAACCUCUGGGAAAUUCAACACGACUUCAAGUUCAGGACAUAAGCCUCCAGAAUUUGCUCCAGACACAGAUCACACCAGCAUCACCAGCAUCAUGUCGAGCUGCACACACACACACACACACACACACAGAAAGGGGGGUGCGUUUUUGUCUUUGGUUAUCUAGCUGUAUGAGUGUUAAAUGCCUGUCAUAAAGCUAGAUAACCGAAAGUAGAAAUGACUUCCGUAACGCUGUGUUAAACGACUUUGAGGUUUAAACUUCCCCAAGGAGGAUUUUCGCUUCCAAAAGGCUUUUGCUUAACGCAGAAAGAUCUGGGAUUCCUGAAAAGAGCCAUCGUUAAAAAAAAAAAAGAAAAAAGAAAGAAAAACGAGGAUGGAGGGGGGAAAAAACGGUCGGUCCGGAAUUGCCACCUCCUCCUCCUCCCCCCUCCCACCCUCACCCUUUAUGCCUCUGAUGCCAUCUGUACUGCCAAUGGAGACACUUUGCCUGUGCCAGGAGUCGAACAAAGACCUUGCCGGAUCCCUGGAGUAUGGGCGCGCUCAGAAGAGGAGCCAUCUUGGGAGAUGUUUUCCGCGACGCCUAAAAUGGCUGGGCUGGCAUAGGAGGACAGGACAUGAACUGUGAUCAUCUCUGCACUCUGUAGGAGCUUCCUUGGCACAAAGGCGUCGCCGACCAAACUCGACAAAAAUGCCGCCACCGGGCUGUGAGGACUUCAGAAUGAACUCCAGCGAUUAUCAGUCAGCUAAACGCUGCAACAUGAGUGUUGCACUGUGAAAGACUGAAGACACGUUAUGUUAACUCAAGAUGUAUCUGUUGUUGUUAUCAGGAAGUAUCUCAUUUUAAUAUGCUGUAAUGAUGACGUGUGUGGGAUCAGACCUUUGAAGCUGCACAUUUAAAUCUGCAAAUAGAAAAAGUAGCCAGAAUUUUUAAAACUUAUUUUGCACUUAAUAAUCUUUACAUUUCCCACUGUGUAUGUCUGUUGUUUUAUAUGAGUUAAAUGGUAUAAAUGUGAUUGCUGACAAUGAGACUUCUUCAAAAAACAAAUAAAAAAAAUAUAUAAAAAUAUUA